GGCAGCAGUGGGGAAUCUUCGGCAAUGGGGGAAACCCUGACCGAGCAACGCCGCGUGAGGGAUGAAGGUUUUCGGAUCGUAAACCUCUGUCUUUGAGGACGAUAAUGACGGUACUCAAGGAGGAAGCCCCGGCUAACUACGUGCCAGCAGCCGCGGUAAUACGUAGGGGGCGAGCGUUGUCCGGAAUUACUGGGCGUAAAGGGCGUGUAGGCGGCCUGUUAAGUCAGGCGUGAAAACCCCGGGCUUAACCUGGGGAUUGCGUUUGAAACUGGCGGGCUUGAGGGCAGGAGAGGAAAGUGGAAUUCCCGGUGUAGCGGUGAUAUGCGUAGAUACCGGGAGGAACACCAGUGGCAAAGGCGGCUUUCUGGACUGCACCUGACGCUGAGGCGCGAAAGCCAGGGGAGCGAACGGGAUUAGAUACCCCGGUAG
rnacentral:rRNA from 1 species